rnacentral:rRNA from 1 species
UAGAGUUUGGAUCAUGGCUCAGAUUGAACGCUGGCGGCAGGCCUAACACAUGCAAGUCGAGCGGAAACGAUGGAAGCUUGCUUCCAGGCGUCGAGCGGCGGACGGGUGAGUAAUGCAUGGGAAUCUGCCCGAUAGUGGGGGAUAACCUGGGGAAACCCAGGCUAAUACCGCAUACGUCCUACGGGAGAAAGCAGGGGAUCUUCGGACCUUGCGCUAUCGGAUGAGCCCAUGUCGGAUUAGCUUGUUGGUGAGGUAAUGGCUCACCAAGGCGACGAUCCGUAGCUGGUCUGAGAGGAUGAUCAGCCACAUCGGGACUGAGACACGGCCCGAACUCCUACGGGAGGCAGCAGUGGGGAAUAUUGGACAAUGGGCGAAAGCCUGAUCCAGCCAUGCCGCGUGUGUGAAGAAGGCCCUCGGGUUGUAAAGCACUUUCAGUGGGGAAGAAAGCCUUGGGAUUAAUACUCCCUAGGAAGGACAUCACCCACAGAGAGACCG